GUCUUUGUGUGUUCCAAUCCCCGUUCAUUCUCAUUUACUGUGGAAAGUUGAGGAGAUGGGGUGUCCCAGUUGAUAGGGCUCCUGGGAUUUCAGACUGAAGACCAGCAGGACUCCAGUCAGCUCUACCCCAGCUCUCCAGGACACAGCGCUUCCAACUCUGAGUGACGUCCCGACUCUGGUCCUUGCUUCACAACCAACGUGAGAAUCACACCCUCCAGACCUCCCACAGGUGACAACCUCAGAGCCGUGCUGGCCCGAGCAUGACAAUGACGUAUGAAAACUUCCAGGAUUUGGAGAGUGAGGAGAAAGUCCAGGGGGUUAGAAAUGGGCCGCCUCCUCCCCAGUCCCUCCUGCAGCAUCUCCGUUCUGGGCCCUGCCUCCUCCUGCUGUCCCUGGGCCUUGGUCUCCUGCUGCUGGUCAUCAUCUGUGUGGUUGGAUCCCAAA